CGUUCAAAAACUCAGCUUAGUAUCAAAGUCAUCUAUAUCCUCGCUUUUGAGAAUCAUACACAGCUAAAGUUGCAAUCGACCAAUCAGAGAGCUUCAUUGCCGCAAAUUCAAAAUGGCUGUCAGUGGUGUUUUUCAUACAGUAAAGGUUGUUUGCGUUACACUAUUUUUAUUGAAAAUAUUAUUUUUGGGCAGUUUGAACGUUGAAAAGCGAUAAAAUACCUGAUCCAAGGUGAAAUGGAGGAGCCUGUGAAAGAAGCUGUACCAGGAAAGGCCAGGAAACGACAAAAACAUCCUGAGAAAUAGAAAGGCUAAUUUGGCAAAAAAAGAGAGGUACUCGCCGCAGUUUACCUGAACCACACACGUGCAAACAUGACACAAAAAAAUAAGAAUGCGCGAAACUAAAGUUAAAAGAUCUCCUGAGAUUUCAUAAGACAUUUUACGAAAAGCCAAUAAAAAAACAACAGGAUGCAAUAAUAUUAAAAUGUUGUUCUGCAAAACAGUCAGUAGUCAGUAUGUCAUAAAGACAUUCUUGUCUACAGGACAACUCGCUAGUGAAAGAAGGGUGAAAGAAAGGUGACCAUAAAACACGAAAGUACGCUUCUCUCAGGCAAUCGGUUCACAGAUUCAUAAAAUCGUUGACUUGCAUUGAGGCACAUUAUUGCCGAAGUUCGACUCGUCAACGAUAAUAUAUUUUACCCAUCGAGCUCAAUAUAAAAAAGUUAUACAAAAUGUAUAACUCUCAAAACCCCGACAGUGCUGUAAAGUUAUCGUAUUUUCGAGCGAUUUUCAAUACGGAUUUCAAUUUAGGUUUCGGAAACCCUAGAACCGAUGCUUGCUCCAAAUGCAUCGAGUUAUCUGAAAAAAAUCAAAACAGAAGGAGACUCUUCAAAUAAAUUAAAAUUAAUGACAGAAAAAAGAAUACAUGUGCUGAGGGCGAAAGCAUUUUUCAACUUGCUAAGAGAAAAAAAAGAAGGAAUGGCAACAUAUUCUUUUGACUGCCAAAAAAAUUUGGUACUACCAAAAGUACCGGAUCAAAGUUGCUAUUAUAGUAGGCAAUUGUAUUUUUACAAUUUUGCAAUUAUUCGAGGGUCCUCUAACGACCCUCUGAAUAAAGAUAAUUCUUAUUCUUAGAUCUGGACUGAGAAUGAGCACUUUAAAGGAAGUAAUGAAAUAGCAUCUGCUGUUUAUCAUACACUUAAUCAAAGUGAUCUGACAAAUGUAAAUCACAUUCGUCCGGUGGCAGACGGAUGUGGCGGACAAAACAAAAAUAGCGCAAUUUUAGCUAUGUGUUCUCGUUGGCUUUUAGACAACAGGUCUGUAAAAAAGAUGUAAUUGGUGUUUCCUGUCACAGGGCACUCUUUCAUGCCCGCAGACAGAAUUUUCGGUAAUAUCAAAAAAGACAUACGUAAAAGAUAAGUAAUUACUUCACCUUCUGAAUAUGCUGCAAUUAUUGGCCAAUUUACUACAGUCACUAAACUGACAAGCAUACCUAUAUUUAGCUGAAAAAACGGCGUUCACGAAGUCUUAAAAACAACCGCUCAAUUACAUUUCAAAAUAUCAGAAUGUAAACGAUUUAUAUUGAAAAGAUCCAAAAAAACUGGAAAUGUUUUGGUACGUGGGGAGAUUUUUUUCACUUCAGAUACAGGAGUACCAAAAAGCAUCUGCAAAGUUGGUAAAAAAACCGAAAUGAUACGGGCUUCCAUAAUUCCGAAAGGUGUGGAGGUUAAACUUCGAGACGUAAGAAAGCUUCUUACGAACCAUUAUGGUGAAAAUUGGCCAAAUUUGCCAGAUUUGAAUUUCUAUUCAAACAUAUUAAAUAACUUACCAGACCAGGAAGCAGGCGAAGGAGAGCAAUGCGAAAAGGAAGAACACGAAGGAGAAGAUAUUUGCCAGAUGUGUGAUGAAGAGUGUAAUUAAAUUUAUAGUAAUAAUAAUUAAUAAACAAACCUACUUUUUUCUUUUCAUAUAAA